UGCAGCCUUGUCAAAUUCAGUGUUUCCUUCUCAGUGGACCGCACUGGCCAAAUUGGCUGCAACAGUAAAGUUUUAGUCCUCAAGCCCCCUGAUCUUGCAUAGUGGACACUGGGGAUAGAAGUGGCUAUAUACAGUU
ensembl:snoRNA